GAUGAACGCUGGCGGCGUGCCUAAUACAUGCAAGUCGAGCGAACAGAUGAGGAGCUUGCUCCUCUGACGUUAGCGGCGGACGGGUGAGUAACACGUGGAUAACCUACCUAUAAGACUGGGAUAACUUCGGGAAACCGGAGCUAAUACCGGAUAAUAUAUUGAACCGCAUGGUUCAAUAGUGAAAGACGGUUUUGCUGUCACUUAUAGAUGGAUCCGCGCCGCAUUAGCUAGUUGGUAAGGUAACGGCUUACCAAGGCAACGAUGCGUAGCCGACCUGAGAGGGUGAUCGGCCACACUGGAACUGAGACACGGUCCAGACUCCUACGGGAGGCAGCAGUAGGGAAUCUUCCGCAAUGGGCGAAAGCCUGACGGAGCAACGCCGCAUGAGUGAUGAAGGUCUUCGGAUCGUAAAACUCUGUUAUUAGGGAAGAACAAAUGUGUAAGUAACUAUGCAUGUCUUGACGGUACCUAAUCAGAAAGCCACGGCUAACUACGUG
rnacentral:rRNA from 1 species